GCGGGCGCACUUCGGGGUCCGCGGGUAGCCGCAGGCCACCGCCCCCAGCGCCCUAUCCAGCCCCGGGCCAGGAGGGCAUCCUCCGCGACCCGUGCUGGCGGCCGAUCGCAGGAACAGGCCGGGCGGCCGCAGAAAAGCCGCGGACACCGGGAUCCCCGACGGCACCGGGCGCGCGGGCGAUGCAGGUGGAGCGGCCCGCAGCCCAGGAGCCAAGUGGGGUCGGCAGCCGCCGCUGCGGUCCCUACGGCCUAAAGGAAACUGCUCCAUUCUGAGAAGGCGCCUCUAAGGAGUAGCGACCCGCAAGGACGCUGUCCAGAGCUACCGAUGAAGUCAAGAGACCAAUGUGACAAAGAGACACGACACAGAGCUUGGAAGACUGUGGCCGCUGCUCAUUGGAAAGUUAUUUUAAAUAGCUCCCGAGACGGCUUACAAAGCGUGUAUAAACAAGAGAACUGAUUCCGAGUC